AGAGAGAGAGAGAGAGACAAACGGAUGCAUAAAUAACAAAGCUAAUCAAUAAACAGGAAUCAGGAAAGAAAAGACGAAAAAAGAAAAGAAAAAGAAGAGAGAGAAACAGAGAAAAACAAAGAAAAUAAUAAAAAAAGUAAAAAAAAAAAGUGAACGAAAAAUUGAAAACAAAUAAAAGUGAAGAAGAAGAGAUAAAUAAAAGAGAGAGAUAAAGAAAAAGAGAUAAUGGCGUCUCUUAGAUCAAUCCGUGCUGGUUUAUCUCGCUCCUACCACUCCUUAAACACGAUGGGAGGACAUGAAGAGGAAACAGAAGGAGGAGGAGGAGGAGGAGGAGGCAGAGAGAACAACAACACAACCUCCUCCUCUAACUACUCCGCGACUACUGACUGGCUCGGGGUGGACAACUUCAGAACGAGGAACAACAACAAAAGUUCGCCUCUCUCAGCCAUCAAGGUCGCUCUGUCUAAAGUCUCGCGAGGGAGGCAGAAUCACUCCUCCAGUAAGAUUUCCACUAUCCUGAAGGAGUUGGAUGACGAGUGGAGGAUCAGUGAGGAUGGCACGGAGGGUGAUAUCAUCCUAGGAAAACUUCGCGUCACCAACUCCAGAAUGCCUUCCUCCAUAGCUGUGCCCCCAGAACAGGCCUCCCUCCUCGGCACCAUGCCUGGAGAGGUACUGGACGACGGAGAUCUGAGGCAGGUGCAGCUGUCCAUCGCACCCUCCCGCACCCUAAGCGAGGAUGGUUCCACUGGCAGCAAGGUCACAGUGGACACCCCCUAUGGCCCCGUCACUGCUGCUGUCUCCGGCGACCCCACACGACCUGUCAUUCUCACCUAUCAUGACCUUGGCCUCAAUCACGUCACUAAUUUCCAGGCGUUUUUCCUGUACCCUGAGAUGAGGAAUGUGGUAAACAACUUCUGCAUCGUUCAUGUGAAUGCCCCAGGUCAGGAGGAGGGCGCCCCCACACUGCCGGAGGGAUACGUGUACCCCACCAUGGAGCAGCUUGUGGACACCAUUACCUGCGUGAAGAACCACCUACACCUGCGCUCCUUCAUCGGGUUUGGUGUCGGUCUUGGAGCUAACAUCCUGGCUCGCUAUGCCACAAAAUACCCCAAUCAUGUGGAUGCGCUGGUGCUGGUGAACUGCUCCUCCACUCAGGCUGGCUGGAUUGAGUGGGGCUACCAGAAGCUGAACAUCCGCCAUCUGCGCUCUGGCACCAUGACCACCGGCACUGUGGAUUACCUUAUGUGGCACCACUUUGGCAAGCUGGAGGAGUGUAACCAGGACCUUGUGACAGUGUACCGCCAACACUUUGAGCGUGCUAUCAACCCCACCAACCUCGGACUCCUUGUUGACUCCUAUAUCCGCCGUUCAGACUUGGCUAUCGUUAGGGAGCUGGACCCCAAUAAGAAGAAGGAUGUCCGAAUGAUCCGCUGCCAGGUCCUCAACAUCACUGCCAACCUGUCACCCCACAUCGAGGACACUGUUACCUUCAAUGGCCGCCUUGACCCCACCCUGGCCACCUGGAUGAAGAUCCAGGAUGUCGGGUUAGUGAUAGACGAGGCCCCUGGCAAAGUGGUGGAGGCCUUCAGACUGUUCCUCCAGGGCCAAGGCUAUGUGAGUGGGUCGCGUCGUGCCUCCAGUGUGUCGCUUGGAGAAGGUAAAUCGUGUUGAGCUCCUCCUACUACUACAUCACCCCUCCAUCACAAAGUUUGAUACAAAUACAAGGCUUUGUCCGUGCACAGUCGAGGCAUUGGAUCGCGUCAGGGCUCCAUCGCAUCCGUCACCUCAUCCACCGCCAGCCUGAGGGACUUGAGGGAAAGCAGGGACAUCCACAUUACAGAGAACCCACUCCAGAACCCCACUGCAUGAGA
rnacentral:misc_RNA from 1 species